rnacentral:rRNA from 1 species
CGCAGCCGCGGUAAUUCCAGCUCCAAUAGCGUAUAUUAAAGUUGUUGCAGUUAAAAAGCUCGUAGUUGAAUUUCGGGGUUCUACCGUUGGUCGGGCAAUAGUCUGUACUGGCGUGUAGAAUUUCUACCUUCUGGGGAACCAUCAUGUUAUUAAUUUAGCGUGGUGGGAAACCAGGACCUUUACCUUGAAAAAAUUAGAGUGUUCAAAGCAGGCUUACGUCUGAAUACAUUAGCAUGGAAUAAUAAAAUAGGACGGUGGUCCUGUUUUGUUGGUUUCUGAAUCACCGUAAUGAUUAAUAGGGAUAGUUGGGGGCAUUAGUAUUCAAUUGUCAGAGGUGAAAUUCUUGGAUUUAUUGAAGACUAACUUCUGCGAAAGCAUUUGCCAAGGAUGUUUUCAUUAAUCAAGAACGAAAGUUAGGGGAUCGAAGACGAUCAGAUACCGUCGUAGUCUUAACCAUAAACUAUGCCGACUAGGGAUCGGACGAUGUUAAUUUUUCU